rnacentral:lncRNA from 10 species
AUCUCAUCCUGUGACUUACAAUGCCUAACCUCCUGGGAAUGCAGCCCAGUACGUCUCAGCCUCAUUUUACCCAGCUCUGUAUUCAAGAUACAUUCACUCUGGUCCCAACGCCUCUGACACUACGUUCCAGGGAUUACGGCAUGAACAUACUGUUUUCAGGACCCUAUCUAGCCCACCAUGUAUUUUCAGAGCUGCCCUUGGCCAUCUGGAAGAUGCAUGGUGAAAGAAACGGAUGCUUGCUCUCAGCACACACUUCCUUCCCUGACAGUUUGUCGCCUA